rnacentral:rRNA from 1 species
UGGGGAAUUUUGGACAAUGGGCGCAAGCCUGAUCCAGCAAUGCCGCGUGCAGGAUGAAGGCCUUCGGGUUGUAAACUGCUUUUGUACGGAACGAAAAGGCUCUGGUUAAUACCUGGAGCAUAUGACGGUACCGUAAGAAUAAGCACCGGCUAACUACGUGCCAGCAGCCGCGGUAAUACGUAGGGUGCGAGCGUUAAUCGGAAUUACUGGGCGUAAAGCGUGCGCAGGCGGUUUUGUAAGACAGAGGUGAAAUCCCCGGGCUCAACCUGGGAACUGCCUUUGUGACUGCAAGGCUGGAGUGCGGCAGAGGGGGGAUGGAAUUCCGCGUGUAGCAGUGAAAUGCGUAGAUAUGCGGAGGAACACCGAUGGCGAAGGCAAUCCCCUGGGCCUGCACUGACGCUCAUGCACGAAAGCGU